GCAGGAACAUUGUUAAAUGGAAAUGUUGUUUCCGUCUUGAAUUCACAGGAACCUGCUGCUGAAGAUCAGCCUUGUUAUCAUACUGUGUUACCACUGGCUUGGAAAAAUUGCUGUGGAACAAGACCCUCAAGUUUCAAAGUGCUGGGAGAAUUUUGUGGGGCAGGAACUUUAUCGCCUGCUCCUGAUGGACUUCAUCUUUACAGUGCUUUUCACUUUUCUAGGCCAGUUUGUAUGGAGGAUUUUCUCCCAAAAAAUCUUAAGAAACAACAGAAAGCCAGUGUUUGACAUUGCUCAAAAUGUUCUG